ACACACACACACACACACACACACACACACACACACACACACACACACACACACACACACACACACACACACACACCGGAUUCUAUUAAUCAGCUGCACACACAGCAGGACUUUGAUGAGUUGAAUUAGGUUGGUUAAUGCAGGGCUGGAACGAAAGCCCGAGGUAAAGGGUUGGCCAGAGCCGACAGAGCGAUGACUGUGUGGUGCUGGCCAACCACAAGAUGGCGCCAAAAGGCAUACUGGAAUACUGAGCAACGAUGGAGCAGAGGUGACCACACCUUGAUUAUCUAUCUACACACAAUGAAUGAAAGCAUCAACCUUCUGUGGACCUGAACACCAAGACACUACACUUGACAGACCUCCAGUGCAGGACCACCACACACUAGACUGCUGUUAUUAAGCUAAAUGGGUUUAAACAACUAUAUUGAAACGUGUGUGUGUGUGUGUGUGUGUGUGUGUGUGUGUGUGUGUGUGUGUGUGUGUGUGUGUGUGUGUGUGUGUGUGUGUGUGUGUGUGUGUGUGUGUGUGUGUGUGUGUGUGUCAUUAUUGCAUAAAUGUCACUUCCAAAUGCUGAAAAAAAAUUUGCAUUCAAAAUAGGCUCAAUGACUGAAAUUCUGUUUCUUGUAUAUGUUUUUUCUGAGUAAAGUGAGAGGUAAUAAAACCAUCCUCAACAGCAGAAGGGUUUUGUUACAGUUAUAGAUAAUGUAAUAAACCUUACAGCUACAGAUAAUGUAAUAAACCAUCCUCAACAGUAGAAGUGUUAUGUUACAGUUAUAGAUAAUGUAAUAAACCAUCCUGAACAGCAGAAGGGUUAUUUUACAGUUAUAGAUAAUGUAAUACACCAUCCUCAACAGUAGAAGUGUUAUGUUACAGUUAUAGAUAAUGUAAUAAACCAUCCUGAACAGCAGAAGGGUUAUUUUACAGUUAUAGAUAAUGUAAUACACCAUCCCCAACAGUAGAAGGGUUAUGUUACAGCUAUAGAUAAUGUAAUAAAACCAGCCUCAACAGCAGAAGGGUUAUGUUACAGUUAUAGAUAAUGUAAUAAACCAUCCUCAACAGUAGUAGAAGGGUUAUGUCACAGUUAUAGAUAAUGUAAUUAAACCAUCCUCAACAGCAGAAAGGUUAUGUUACAGUUACAGAUAAUGUAAUAAAACCAUCCUCAACAGUAGUAGAAGGGUUAUGUCACAGUUAUGGUCAUAGCUGUGGACAAUCAGAGACAUAGCUUGAGGCAUCAGAUCCUUACAUUGCCUGUCAUGUCUCUGUAUCUGGCACUAUAAAGAAACAGCAAUACACCAAGUCAACACUUUUGCCUUUGAACAUUCUUGUCCAGUUAAAAUGCCUUUGCCUUUUUCUUUCAGUAUUAGUUCAUCUUAUAGAAAUGGCUUCCCAACAUUGUAAUAAACUGUACAUGUAUCCACCUACAGGAUGUCGUAUCCUAUUCUAGAGAAUCCUCUUUGUGAAUGUUUCACUGGUUUUGAAAAAGAAAUUAGACCAUGAUAUAGACCAUCAAUAGCACCAUCAGCUCUCCUGUUGUGGAUUCCCCUGAUAUGUAACGUGUGUAUCACAGAGAUGGAACAGUUCUAUAUCUAUGGUGUGUAUAGUGUUUAGAGGCUGGUCAUGUACUAUAGAUUCUAUCUAUAUACUGUAGUAUGUUGUGCAUUCCCUGGUUGGACAUGGAGAUUGGAGAAUUAUUUAUUAUUAUAAUAAUAUACUUAUUUAUUUGCUCGUUGUGCACUACUUUUGACCAGGUAGUGUACUAUGUAGGGAAUAGGGUAUAAUUUUGCUGUUUUUUACCUGCCGUGGGGUUCCAAUGGGUUAGGAACUGGUCUGCAUGAUGUGGUAAAGCCAUGGAUUGACCACCAAGAAAAAUAUGCAUGUAACAAAAAACAUUUCCUUGUGAAGUAGUUGUAUUCUACAUGUCGCUACAAUGCCCAAAUCAGCAUGUACUAACAAAUAUUAUUUCCAAAAGGGCAACAAAAGCAAUACAAAGUCACUGCUCUUCUCUCUCUCAUCACUAUUUUCUUUAUGCUUUUCAUUUUUUACAAUUAUUUUGAGAUGUUAAAUAAUAAAUCAAAUGUUUUGUUUUAU